rnacentral:rRNA from 1 species
GGGGAAUAUUGGACAAUGGGCGCAAGCCUGAUCCAGCAAUACCGCGUGUGUGAAGAAGGCCUGAGGGUUGUAAAGCACUUUUAAUUGGGAGGAACACCUGNCGGCCAAUACCUGGCAGUUUGACAUUACCUUUAGAAAAAGCACCGGCUAACUCCGUG